rnacentral:rRNA from 1 species
AAUGGAGGAAACUCUGACCCAGCAACGCCGCGUGGAGGAAGAAGGUUUUCGGAUCGUAAACUCCUGUCCUUGGAGACGAGUAGAAGACGGUAUCCAAGGAGGAAGCCCCGGCUAACUACGUGCCAGCAGCCGCGGUAAUACGUAGGGGGCAAGCGUUGUCCGGANNAAUUGGGCGUAAAGGGCGCGUAGGCGGCUCGGUAAGUCUGGAGGGAAAGUCCUGCUUUUAAGGUGGGAAUUGCUUUGGAUACUGUCGGGCUUGAGUGCAGGAGAGGUUAGUGGAAUUCCCAGUGUAGCGGUGAAAUGCGUAGAGAUUGGGAGGAACACCAGUGGCGAAGGCGACUAACUGGACUGUAACUGACGCUGAGUCGCGAAAGUGUGGGGAGCGAA